rnacentral:rRNA from 1 species
UAUUCUGUAGCAAGGUUAACCGAAUAGGGGAGCCGAAGGGAAACCGAGUCUUAACUGGGCGUUAAGUUGCAGGGUAUAGACCCGAAACCCGGUGAUCUAGCCAUGGGCAGGUUGAAGGUUGGGUAACACUAACUGGAGGACCGAACCGACUAAUGUUGAAAAAUUAGCGGAUGACUUGUGGCUGGGGGUGAAAGGCCAAUCAAACCGGGAGAUAGCUGGUUCUCCCCGAAAGCUAUUUAGGUAGCGCCUCGUGAAUUCAUCUCCGGGGGUAGAGCACUGUUUCGGCAAGGGGGUCAUCCCGACUUACCAACCCGAUGCAAACUGCGAAUACCGGAGAAUGUUAUCACGGGAGACACACGGCGGGUGCUAACGUCCGUCGUGAAGAGGGAAACAACCCAGACCGCCAGCUAAGGUCCCAAAGUCAUGGUUAAGUGGGAAACGAUGUGGGAAGGCCCAGACAGCCAGGAUGUUGGCUUAGAAGCAGCCAUCAUUUAAAGAAAGCGUAAUAGCUCACUGGUCGAGUCGGCCUGCGCGGAAGAUGUAACGGGGCUAAACCAUGCACCGAAGCUGCGGCAGCGACACUAUGUGUUGUUGGGUAGGGGAGCGUUCUGUAAGCCUGUGAAGGUGG